GUUUCCAGCAUCUUCCCGUUUUUCUGCCCACGUCUGGUUAUUAUUAUGAGAAAACUGUUCUCGCAAUUCAAUGUAGUUUCUUCCUCAUCCCCACUCUCCCCGUAAUUUCAGCCUUAGCGGUUUUACACCCACGUCUCUGCUCACAUCUUUCAACCAACUGCCGCCAUCCAUUAUAAACCCCCACCUCCACUAUAUCCCUCCUUCAAACCUACAACAUAAAAUUGGCAGUUUAUCAAGGAUAACAGUUUUGGAUUUGGUGGAUAGUUUCUUCCCCAUUCCACUGCCCCAUGAUUCCAGGUCUCCAUCGCUCCUCAACCACUAUAAACCCUACCAACACCUACGCUCUCUUCAAAUCUGAAGCUGAUUGGGCUCAAAUUGAAGGGAAGCCCCAGAUGUAGAUAUGUUCAUCGCAGGACUAAAACAGAGACGUACGAGACAUGCUUGGUUAUUGGCAAGGGUUGUUAGGAGAGCGCUUUCUUCAUUGGUUAUUUUAAUAUCAUUGGCAAUCUAAACCAAUUUUAAGUCAUAGAUCAAUCCAAGGCAUCAUUAUGGGCAUAAUCUUCACUUUUAUUACCUUAAAUGGUUGCACUCUCCAAGCAAAGAAGCUUUUUUACUAAGAAGCUUUUUUACUGGAUGGAUGUAGGAGAAGGUAAAGAAGCGAAUCUUGUCUAAGAGUGUCCAAGAUGAAGACUUCAACAACAAUGCAUCAAAUAUCUCGACACCGUAGAUGUCUUUACCGUUUUCUUGAUUUUCCAUUUUCAUUACAUUCUAACAAAAGUUCUUACCAAGUUUUUUUAGAUUUUAAGUUUUAUAUUUUUUGUAGAUGGAAAGGACAUCUUAUGAAGCAGUGAUCGAAAAUGAGAAACUCUUUCAAACAAAAAAUAUAUUUUCUUUACACAAAAAACGGGGUGUUGAUCGAUACAAUGGGUCAAACAAAAGGUGCUAAGUGCAUCUUUGUUCUUAGUCCAUAGUAGUUGAACGGGGUAUUGCGCCAUUUGUGCACAUAGCGCCCUAUGGCGCUGUGCAACACCGCCCCGAGGGGCGCCAUAUUGUUGAUGCACUUGUGUCUGUACUUUGUCUGUAUUCGGUCUAUAUGUAAAACGAUGUCCUUGUCAGUCCUGUAAGUUGACCAAGUCAACCGUCCUCCUGGUUUGACUUGACCAACAGUUAGAAAUGUUUGUGAAUGUUCUGUGUCGAAGGAUAGCACAUCGAAGGAUAAUGUAGAUCCUUCGAUGGCCUCGAAAGAUAUGUACAAAGGAUAAUGUUGGACUUCGAAGGAUAUGCAAUCCCUCGAAGUAUAUGUAGAUCUUUCGAACACUUUGUCAUCGAUAGAUGAUCCUUCGAUCAUCUAUCGGAUCCUUCGGACAGGACAUGUGGAGCUGGGUAUAUAAAUACCUAUGCAGUGUAUGUGUUAGAGAGACUUGAGAGACUUGUUAGAUAGAUGCACACAUAGAGAGAGUUUGAGAGC